rnacentral:rRNA from 1 species
CCUACGGGAGGCAGCAGUGGGGAAUAUUGCACAAUGGGGGAAACCCUGAUGCAGCGAAGCCGCGUGAGUGAAGAAGUACUUCGUUACGUAAAGCUCUAUCUGCAGGGAAGCAACACUGACCUUACGGUCAGCCGACGGUACCUGCGUAAGAAGCCCCGGCUAACUACGUUCCAGCAGCCGCGGUAAUACGUCGGGGGCAAGCGUUAUCCGGCUUUACUGGGUGUAAAGGGAGCGUAGACGGUGCGCCAAGGCUGGAGUGAAAUGGCGCAGCGUAACUGCGGUACUGCGGUGGAAACUGGCGAACUAGAGUGCGGGAGGGGUAAGCGGAAUGCGUAGUGUAGCGGUGAAAUGCGUAGAUAUUAGGAGGAACACCGGUGGCGAAGGCGGCUUACUGGAGCGUAACUGACGUUGAGGCUCGAAAGCGUGGGGAGCGAACAGGAUUAGAUACCCCGGUAGUC